GUGGCAGUGGCCCAGUUGGUGGGGCGCCGCGCUGUGGACGCGGAGGUCGCGGGUUCAAUCCCCGCCUGUCACC
rnacentral:tRNA from 1 species